AGAGUUUGAUCAUGGCUCAGAAUCAACGCUGGCGGCGUGCCUAACACAUGCAAGUCGCACGAGAAAGGGUAGCAAUACCUGAGUAAAGUGGCGCACGGGUGAGUAACACGUGACUAAUCUACCCUCGAGUGGGGAAUAACCUAGAGAAAUCUGGGCUAAUAUCGCAUAACACUUACGAGUCAAAGCAGCAAUGCGCUUGGGGAGGAGGUCGCGGCCGAUUAGCUAGUUGGCGGGGUAAUGGCCCACCAAGGCGAUGAUCGGUAUCCGGCCUGAGAGGGCGCACGGACACACUGGAACUGAAACACGGUCCAGACUCCUACGGGAGGCAGCAGUGGGGAAUUUUGCGCAAUGGGGGAAACCCUGACGCAGCAACGCCGCGUGGAGGAUGAAAUAUCUUGGUAUGUAAACUCCUUUCGAUGGGGAAGAUUAUGACGGUACCCAUAGAAGAAGCCCCGGCUAACUUCGUGCCAGCAGCCGCGGUAAUACGAGGGGGGCAAGCGUUGUUCGGAUUUAUUGGGCGUAAAGGGUGCGUAGGCGGUUUGAUAAGUCUGAUGUGAAAUCUAUGGGCUCAACCCAUAGUCUGCAUUAGAAACUGUCGGGCUUGAGUAUGGGAGAGGUGAGUGGAAUUUCCGGUGUAGCGGUGAAAUGCGUAGAUAUCGGAAGGAACACCUGUGGCGAAAGCGGCUCACUGGACCAUAACUGACGCUGAUGCACGAAAGCUAGGGGAGCAAACAGGAUUAGAUACCCUAGUAGUCC
rnacentral:rRNA from 1 species